GCUUCAGGUAGAGGCAAGAUCCGCCGCCACCACGACAGAAACGGGUGGCGAUGGUCCAGUGGAUAAGACACGUGCCUUUGGUGUGAGAGAUCCGGGUUCAGCUCUCCACGGUGACACGUCUACCAACGUGUCCCUGAGCAAGACACUUAACCCCUCGCCGGUCCAGAGUUGUGCGACCUCAUGUAUAGUAGCUGUAGGUCGCUGGAUAAAAGCAUGAGCUAAAUGUGAGGGUACAUUUUAGAAGAAGAGACACGCCAGUCAGUCACAUCCUCAGAUGUUAUCCGGUGGUUAUCCCGCCCCCCGCGCUAGAAAGCCAAUCGUCUGCUUUUAACAGCCAAAGCGGGAAACAUAUUUCAGCCAAUCGUGUGGCUCCACUGACGUACGGGUCUGUUAUUCUUCUACUGUGCAUACGAGGUAGACGUGACGCACGCGCAGUAGAAGUAUAACCGCUCGUGAAAAACGCUUUUAAACCUUAUUUUGGGGCAAAGUCGUCAAACUCUUCCAGAGAUUUCCAUCAGAUUUUGCUGCUGAUUCUGUCCAUGUAGUUUUUAUGUCCCGUGACCAGUGAGAGUGCAGCUCUCUGCUCAUUCAGGCAGGCGGGAGUCUGGUCUUGUUAGUCCGAAGUCGCUGCCAGGAAGCGUUGCCAAGAUGGCGGCCGAGUGGCGGGACCCGCCUAUAAGGACUUUGGUUCCAUUAAUAAAAUGUAAACGCUCCGUAUUUGCGUGGCGCCACCAGAACAGCAGCCAGGGGCCAUUCAGGUUCAGUCUUUUGCCCAAGGACGCUCGGUGAAGACGCACGGCUGCGUGUUGCAUGUUCGUGUCGCUCUGCAGGUUUUCCUGUUUCCAGCCACAGUUCAGUGAAGUCUGACGCUUCUGAUUGGUUCUCCUGCCUCUCAGGCCGUCGUCUGAAAACAAUUUAGAAAUUCAGUCAAAGUUAAAUUUAACUUGUUCUUUAAUAGAGAAAUUUAAAUGGACUCUGAUCUCAAAAUCCGUCUGUAGGGAUGAGGAUCGAGACCCGGUUCCAAAAUUUAGUAACGUUAUGUCUGGAGCGUCAAAUCUGAUUUAUCUUGAAACGCGAUGGACAAGAACUUAAAGACGAUGUUUUGUCAGUCUAAGGUAAACCUGUUGAAAGGUUCGUGUCCUCUGCGUCCUAAACAAGCGCAGCUAACGUUAGCUUGGCAGUUAGCCGAUUGUUCCAGACAGACGAGCCGCUCCUGAUGCAGACUGACUGUACGGUGACUUUGCUGUUAAACAUUAUUUAGCUGGAUUUAAAAUAUUCUAAUCCUAUAACUUAAAAACAUCCAGGCAGCUGUGGGAACGCUAAUAUUAUGUUUAUCACAACUCGCAUGUCAUCUCAAUAUGAAACAACUUUAUUGGAUAUUGUCGUCAUACCGUGCAGGCCGACCUGAAGAAUCGGCUCAGUAAGGCGCAUGUCGCCCGUCUGCUUCCUCGUGUUCUGUCUUGUUGACGACCUGCUGGGUCUCUGUUUCAGGACGAAGACUCCAGGUCCUGGAGCUCAGUCCGCUCUCAGAGCGCUGGCUCGCUCCGGCAUGAAGAUCGGACGCAUCGAGGACGUCACUCCCAUCCCGUCGGACUCGACCAGGAGGAAGGGCGGACGCCGCGGUCGCCGUCUGUAAAAGUGCAGCGUGAUUUUCUGACAAUAAAAAGCUUAAAGAGUG